UACAGAGGGUGCAAGCGUUGUUCGGAAUCAUUGGGCGUAAAGGGCGUGUAGGCGGUUUGUUAAGUCAUGUGUGAAAUCCCUCGGCUCAACCGGGGAACGACGCAUGAAACUGGCAGGCUAGAGUACUAAAGAGGAUCGCGGAAUUCCCGGUGUAGAGGUGAAAUUCGUAGAUAUCGGGAGGAACACCGGUGGCGAAGGCGGCGAUCUGGGUAGAUACUGACGCUGAGGUGCGAAAGCGUGGGGAGCAAACAGG
rnacentral:rRNA from 1 species